rnacentral:rRNA from 1 species
CAGCAGCCACGGGAAUACGUAGGUGGCAAGCGUUGUCCGGAAUUAUUGGGCGUAAAGCGCGCGCAGGUGGUUUAAUAAGUCUGAUGUGAAAGCCCACGGCUCAACCGUGGAGGGUCAUUGGAAACUGUUAAACUUGAGCGCAGGAGAGAAAAGUGGAAUUCCUAGUGUAGCGGUGAAAUGCGUAGAGAUUAGGAGGAACACCAGUGGCGAAGGCGGCUUUUUGGCCUGUAACUGACACUGAGGCGCGAAAGCGUGGGGAGCAAACAGGAUUAGAUACCCCGGUAGUCCCUGUCUCUUAUAA